UUUAAUUGAAGAGUUUGAUCAUGGCUCAGAUUGAACGCUGGCGGCAGGCCUAACACAUGCAAGUCGAGCGGCAGCACAGAGAAACUUGUUUCUUGGGUGGCGAGCGGCGGACGGGUGAG
rnacentral:rRNA from 1 species